GCGUGAGUGAAGAAGGCCUUCGGGUUGUAAAGCUCUUUCGGCGGGGACGAAAUGGUUCGUGCUAAUACCAUGAACUGAUGACGGUACCCGAAGAAGAAGCACCGGCUAACUACGUGCCAGCAGCCGCGGUAAUACGUAGGGUGCAGGCGUUAAUCGGAAUUACUGGGCGUAAAGCGUGCGCAGGCGGUUUGCUAAGACAGGUGUGAAAUCCCCGGGCUUAACCUGGGAACUGCGCUUGUAACUGGCAAGCUGGAGUGUGGCAGAGGGGGGUGGAAUUCCAAGUGUAGCAGUGAAAUGCGU
rnacentral:rRNA from 1 species